rnacentral:rRNA from 1 species
UACGUAGGGCGCAAGCGUUAUCCGGAAUUAUUGGGCGAAAGAGCUCGUAGGCGGUUUGUCGCGUCUGCUGUGAAAGCCCGGGGCUCAACCCCGGGUCUGCAGUGGGUACGGGCAGACUAGAGUGAUGUAGGGGAGACUGGAAUUCCUGGUGUAGCGGUGAAAUGCGCAGAUAUCAGGAGGAACACCGGUGGCGAAGGCGGAUCUCUGGGCCUGUUCUGACGCUGAGGCGCGAAAGCUAGGGGAGCGAACAGG